rnacentral:rRNA from 1 species
GACGAACGCUGGCGGCGUGCUUAACACAUGCAAGUCGAACGGAAAGGCCCUGCUUUUGUGGGGUGCUCGAGUGGCGAACGGGUGAGUAACACGUGAGUAACCUGCCCUUGACUUUGGGAUAACUUCAGGAAACUGGGGCUAAUACCGGAUAGGAGCUCCUGCUGCAUGGUGGGGGUUGGAAAGUUUCGGCGGUUGGGGCUGGACUCGCGGCUUAUCAGCUUGUUGGUGGGGUAGGGGCUUACCAAGGCUUUGACGGGUAGCCGGCCUGGGAGGGUGACCGGCGACAUUGGGACUGAGAUACGGCCCAGACUCCUACGGGAGGCAGCAGUGGGGAAUAUUGCACAAUGGGCGGAAGCCUGAUGCAGCAACGCCGCGUGCGGGAUGACGUCCUUCGGGGUGUAAACCGCUUUCGCCUGUGACGAAGCGUGAGUGACGGUAAUGGGUAAAGAAGCACCGGCUAACUACGUG